rnacentral:rRNA from 1 species
GUGUCAGCCGCCGCGGUAAUACGGAGGAUCCGAGCGUUAUCCGGAUUUAUUGGGUUUAAAGGGUGCGUAGGUGGUUUGAUAAGUCAGCGGUGAAAGUUUGCAGCUUAACUGUAAAAAUGCCGUUGAAACUGUCGGACUUGAGUGUAAAUGAGGUAGGCGGAAUGCGUGGUGUAGCGGUGAAAUGCAUAGAUAUCACGCAGAACUCCGAUUGCGAAGGCAGCUUACUAAGCUACAACUGACACUGAAGCACGAAAGCGUGGGGAUCAAACAGGAUUAGAUACCCUGGUAGUCCACGCAGUAAACGAUGAUUACUAGCUGUUUGCGAUACACAGUAAGCGGCACAGCGAAAGCGUUAAGUAAUCCACCUGGGGAGUACGCCGGCAACGGUGAAACUUAAAGGAAUUGGCGGGG